CAAUAGCGUAUAUUAAAGUUGUUGCGGUUAAAAAGCUCGUAGUUGGAUUUCUGUUGGGAACGACCGGUCCGCCCAUUGGGUGUGUAUCUGGCUUGUUCUCGGCAUCUUCUUGGUGAACGUUGCUGCACUUGACUGUGUGGAGCGCUACCCAGGACUUUUACUUUGAGGAAAUUAGAGUGUUUCAAGCAGGCAUAUGCCUUGAAUACAUUAGCAUGGAAUAAUAAGAUAGGACCUCGGUUCUAUUUUGUUGGUUUCUAGAGCUGAGGUAAUGAUUAAUAGGGAUAGUUGGGGGCAUUCGUAUUUAACUGUCAGAGGUGAAAUUCUUGGAUCUGUUGAAGACGGACUACUGCGAAAGCAUUUGCCAAGGAUGUUUUCAUUGA
rnacentral:rRNA from 1 species